rnacentral:rRNA from 1 species
UUUAAAGGGGAGAACUGCCGGGUGAACAAAAACCGGGAAGGAAAGGUGGGGGGAUGAACUUCAAGUUCAUUCAUGGGCCCUUACGGGCCUGGGGCUACAACACGUGCUACAAUGGUUCGGUAACAAAGGGUUGCCAAGCCGGCGAGGUGGAGCUAAUCCCAUAAAACCGAUCGUAGUCCGGAUCGCAGUCUGCAACUCGACUGCGUGAAGUCGGAAUCGCUAGUAAUCGUGAAUCAGAGUGUCACGGUGAAUACGUUCCCGGGCCUUGUACACACCGCCCGUUAAUCACUAGUGAAUUCGCGU